UGCUGUGCCAUUGCAAUCAGUUAGAACUUGAGCGUGUGAGCAAGAACCAGCCAGUCAAUCAUCUGAGAGAGAGAACGUUCAGUCCCACCUCAGACCCCU